rnacentral:misc_RNA from 1 species
UACGGAGGGUGCAAGCGUUGUCCGGAUUUAUUGGGUUUAAAGGGUGCGUAGGCGGCUUUGUAAGUCAGUGUUGAAAUAUGGCAGCUUAACUGUCAGACUGGCAUUGAUACUGCAGAGCUUGAGUACAGUUGAGGUAGGCGGAAUUUAUGGUGUAGCGGUGAAAUGCAUAGAUACCAUAAAGAACACCGAUUGCGAAGGCAGCUUGCUAAGCUGUAACUGACGCUGAGGCACGAAAGCGUGGGGAUCGAACAGG